rnacentral:rRNA from 1 species
UGGGGAAUUUUCCGCAAUGGGCGAAAGCCUGACGGAGCAAUACCGCGUGAGGGAGGAAGGCUUUUGGGUUGUAAACCUCUUUUCUCAAGGAAGGAGAUCUGACGGUACUUGAGGAAUCAGCAUCGGCUAACUCCGUGCCAGCAGCCGCGGUAAUACGGAGGAUGCAAGCGUUAUCCGGAAUGAUUGGGCGUAAAGCGUCUGCAGGUGGCUAUGCAAGUCUGCUGUUAAAGAGUGGAGCUCAACUCCAUAAGGGCAGUGGAAACUGCGUAACUAGAGUACGUUCGGGGUAGAGGGAAUUCCUGGUGUAGCGGUGAAAUGCGUAGAUAUCAGGAAGAACACCGAUAGCGAAGGCAGCUUACUAGACAGUAACUGACGCUGAGGCACGAAAGCGUGGGGAGCGAACGGGAUUAGAUACCCCUGUAGUCC